CCCGGGGCCAGGCGGGUCACCUUGACGACCGGGCCGGCGAACAGAACCGCGCCCCCCGCAGGCAGGGCGAACGGGGAGGUUUCACAGAUGCUGGCGGCGCCGACCUCAAGUAAUUAUUAGAUCUGGUCCCACUGGACAGAUUUCCAGUAACCCUCCUGCAUGGAACUGGAGCCGGGCCCAGCAGGUCCAAAUCAUGAUUAGCAGCACCGGCGUCCAACAGGUCCAGUUUGAGGAGAGGAGGCAGAACCGAUGACUGGUAAUGAUGUCACAACGUGGGGCGCCAUGGAGGCCAGUCACCUCGAAACCCGGUCAUCUGAAAUACUGAUGACGAUGAAUAAAAAGUGAUCCCACCCCUGAUUAUAAAA